rnacentral:rRNA from 1 species
UACGUAGGGUGCAAGCGUUGUCCGGAAUUAUUGGGCGUAAAGAGCUCGUAGGCGGUUCGUCGCGUCGGCUGUGAAAUCCCGGAGCUCAACUCCGGGUCUGCAGUCGAUACGGGCGGACUUGAGUACUGCAGGGGAGACUGGAAUUCCUGGUGUAGCGGUGAAAUGCGCAGAUAUCAGGAGGAACACCGGUGGCGAAGGCGGGUCUCUGGGGCAGUAACUGACGCUGAGGAGCGAAAGCGUGGGGAGCGAACAGG